GCUACGGUGGUCUAGCGGAUAGAACGCUGGCCUUGUAAUCCUGGGGUCUCGGGUUCGAUUCCCGGCGGUGCCC
rnacentral:tRNA from 1 species